AUUUCUCAUAUGAAUAAAGGCAACAGUAGUAUACCGAUGUUCAAACUCAUAAAUCCAUGGACAAAAAACAAAAUCGGGGUAACAAACUAAAACUAAGGGAAACGCAUUAAAUAUAAGAGGAGAACAACGACACAACACUACAAUGUAACACACACAGAAACGGACCAAGCAUCAGACAAAAUCCCACGAGAAUAACAAAUAUAACAGUAAUGAAACAGCAUUAUAUUAACAACCUGUUCCACUAACACAUUUUCAAAAAUUCUUCAAGCAAAACACUCAUAUGCUCCCUUCAUUACACACAUAAACAAUGAAAAUCAUUGUCUUACAUCCACAUCAUUUUGGACAAUUGAAAAUUAUCACAAUUUGGCAAUCUUACCACAUUUCCUUACUUCAUCAGUGUAUGUAAAACAGUCUUUAGAACGAUACAAUAUUGAGAAGAGGAAAACAAAGCAGGAUUCAUAGCGUUUAAUUAAGAUCUGCUUAGACGGUUAUUUCACACCUGGUC
rnacentral:lncRNA from 1 species